rnacentral:rRNA from 1 species
AAAUUUUAAAUGGCCGCAGUAUUCUAACUGUGCAAAGGUAGCAUAAUCAUUAGUCUUUUAAUUGAAGGCUGGAAUGAAUGGUUGGACGAAAUAUUAACUGUUUCAUUUAAAUUUUUUAUAGAAUUUUAUUUUUUAGUCAAAAAGCUAAAAUAAAUUUAAAAGACGAGAAGACCCUAUAAAUCUUUAUAUUUUAUUUAUUUUAAUUAUAAAGAUUAUUUUUGUUAUAAUAAAUUAAAAUAUUUUAUUGGGGUGAUAUUAAAAUUUAAAAAACUUUUAAUUUUUAAAACCAUUAAUUUAUGAAUAAUUGAUCCAUUAAUAAUGAUUAAAAAUUUAAGUUACUUUAGGGAUAACAGCGUAAUUUUUUUGGAGAGUUCAUAUCGAUAAAAAAGAUUGCGACCUCGAUGUUGGAUUAAGAUAUAAUUUUGGGUGUAGCCGUUCAAAUUUUAAGUCUGUUCGACUUUUAAAUUCUU